rnacentral:rRNA from 1 species
UACGGAAGGCAGCAGGGGGAAUAUUGCACAAUGGGCGAAAGCCUGAUGCAGCUAUGCCGCGUGUAUGAAGAAGGCCUUAGGGUUGUAAAGUACUUUCAUCGGGGAGGAAAAACAAAACUAAUAAUUUUAUUUCUUGACGUUACCCGAAAAAGAAGCACCGGCUAACUCCGUGCCAGCAGCCGCGGUAAUACGGAGGGUGCUAGCGUUAAUCAGAAUUACUGGGCGUAAAGAGCACGUAGGUGGUUUUUUUAAGUCAGAUGUGAAAUCCCUGGGCUUAACCUAGGAACUGCAUUUUGAAACUGAAAUACUAGAGUAUCGUAGAGGGAGGUAGAAUUCUAGGUGUAGCGGUGAAAUGCGUAGAUAUCUGGAGGAAUACCUGUGGCGAAAGCGGCCUCCUAAACGAAUACUGACACUGAGGGUGCGAAAGCGUGGGGAGCAAACGAGGAUUAGAUACC